rfam:Clostridium celatum DSM 1785 genomic scaffold Scfld87, whole genome shotgun sequence.
GAAAUUUAAUCCAUAAUAGGUGACUUAAAUCUUAAUAGGGAAUUAGGUUAAAAUCCUAAGCUACCCCAGUAACCGUAAUACUGACGAAAUUCAUUAAAUUUGCCACUGCAUUAUAUGCGGGAAGGUUUGGAGAGUAGGAUGAAGUAAAGCCGGGAGACCUGCCUACUAUGUAGAAAAUAU